rnacentral:rRNA from 1 species
ACGAACGCUGGCGGCGUGCUUAACACAUGCAAGUCGAACGGAAAGGCCCUGCUUUUGUGGGGUGCUCGAGUGGCGAACGGGUGAGUAACACGUGAGUAACCUGCCCUUGACUUUGGGAUAACUUCAGGGAACUGGGGCUAAUACCGGAUAGGAGCUCCUGCUGCAUGGUGGGGGUUGGAAAGUUUCGGCGGUUGGGGAUGGACUCGCGGCUUAUCAGCUUGUUGGUGGGGUAGUGGCUUACCAAGGCUUUGACGGGUAGCCGGCCUGAGAGGGUGACCGGCCACAUUGGGACUGAGAUACGGCCCAGACUCCUACGGGAGGCAGCAGUGGGGAAUAUUGCACAAUGGGCGGAAGCCUGGUGCAGCAACGCCGCGUGCGGGAUGACGGCCUUCGGGUUGUAAACCGCUUUCGCCUGUGACGAAGCGUGAGUGACGGUAAUGGGUAAAGAAGCACCGGCUAACUACGUG